CACAAUUAGAGUAUUUGAAACAGAGUGGAAGCAGAGAAGGGCUGAAGGUUCCGAAAUUAACAUUGUCCCAAGAGACAAUGAAAUACUGAAUCAAUUCCAAGAGAAAUGCGAUGCUAGGACUCACAACAGUCAGUCUGGGGAAAAGUGUUAUUCUGGUGCAUUGUGGGAAGAUGGCAGGCAGAGGGUUAAGACCCGCCAGAGCCUUGAUAUCCCCUUCUCCCCCCCCAUCAGAAAAAAAUCCACCUCAGUAAAGCUCGGAAAAAUUAGCAGAGGGAAUAAGGCAAAAGCAAAACAGAGAAUGAGCUGGAAACUCGUCCACUUUGGCCAAGCAGGCCUGCACACAAAGACAGCCAGAACCCCGCACAGAACGGAGGAGAGGAGACUCGUGCUGGAUGACCCGCCCGCCCUCCUACAUUGAUGCUCCCGGGCUCGGACCUUGGGCAACGAUGGCCAAGUCUGCGGAUAUAUCCGGAGGGGUUCUCCGGUGCCACCUGAGAAUCAAGUCCUGGAGAAGAGCUGGAGGCUGGAGGUGGGACAGCUAUGGAGCCUUGGCCUCUUACAGAACCAUCGAUGACAGGCUCUGCCCUAAGAGAGCAGGCAGUCUGGUCAUCUGCUUCUCAGCUCAGUAGCCCCUGGAACCAUGGCGACAUCUAUUCCCUUCCAAAAUGCAGGGUCAUCAACAGCAAAAACCCCAUCCAAGGUAAAAACUUGUACAGCAGCCAUUCCAGGCAUUGUAUACACCAGUAUGUAUGAGCAAUAGCUUCCUUCUAAAAAGAGCGCCAACAUGGC
rnacentral:lncRNA from 1 species